ACGUAGGGUGCAAGCGUUAAUCGGAAUUACUGGGCGUAAAGCGUGCGCAGGCGGUUUCGUAAGUCUGUCGUGAAAUCCCCGGGCUCAACCUGGGAACUGCAGUCGAGACUGCUUUGCUUGAGUAUGGGAGAGGGAGGUGGAAUUUCCGGUGUAGCGGUGAAAUGCGUAGAUAUCGGAAGGAACAUCAGUGGCGAAGGCGACCUCCUGGACCAAUACUGACACUCAAGUGCGAAAGCGUGGGGAGCAAACAGGA
rnacentral:rRNA from 1 species